GAACAGUGCCUCCAUUUUAUUGUUGUAUUCAGUUGUUUGGAAUGAUCCAGCAUUGAAAACCACAAAGUGUUAGCUCAUUAAAAAAAUGUGCAAACAUUCAAACAAUAUUGAGAUACAAUUUAUGUCAUAGUAAAAAUGAGAAAAAAAUUGUACAUCACAAAAUAUUUUUGACUUUGAGCUCUCAAAUUAAUCACAAGUAAUGUUAGCAAACUCUAAUUAUACUAUAGAUGUACAUUUAGCGUCAAGGCCACAAUUUAUUUUUCUAAAACAAAGCCCAUUGAUCUGUUCAGAUCUUGCAAUAAGCUUUAACAGUCGAAUCCUGUUAGACAUUGUUACAUGUUAUUAAAUUUAACUUUAUUUAUUUUUUUGCUAGACUUUAAACGACUUUUAAUUAAAAAUAAAUGUAAACUAAAAAAAAAACAAUAACAAUAAAUGCCUGAAAUGUUAGUCCAAUUUUACAAAUUUUCACUAUAUUUACUAAUUACUAUUCUAUCAUUGCAUUUAUCACAGAUAUCAUACACAUUUAAGAGGCUAAAUACUAGAAACCCUCUAGGCAGAGUGUUACUAAUGAACAACUACCUACAAGACUAAUCCCACCCCUUUUUUUUUUUUCAAUGACUAGUCUUGUAAAUACUAUAACACAAAACAAACUGGUUUCAACCUUCUGUUAUAUGCAAAUACUCAACUAGAUCUGAUCAUUAUGCAAAUACUUUGAUAUACAGUGUUUUGGUGGACACUUCAAGCUGGUGUUCAAUGUUUGUCCUUGCAAACAUCCACUGAAAUAAAUGUUGAACUAGGUAAAGAUAGGGUCAUUUGAAAUGUACAAAUAAAAGAGGUUGAAAAGUUCUGUUUUAAACCAAACAAAUCCAAGAAGUGUUUGUGAAAAGAAAAAGGAACAUUUUUACUUUACUAGUUGACAAAAAUCAAGUAAGAUUUUACAUUAUUUGAGUCAGAAACAUACAAAUAAAAAUUACAUUACAACCAAAAAAAAAACAA